AUGGUGUCACAAAUCCAGGUUAUCAUGUCCCUGCUGCUCUGGGUGUCUGGUGCCAGUGCUGAUAUCGUGAUGACCCAGUCUCCAUCCUCCCUGGCUGUGUCAGCAGAAGAGAAGGUCAUCAUCAGCUGCAAGUCCAGUCAGAGUCUUUUCACUAACUACUUGGCUUGGUAUCAGCAGAAACCAGGACAGGCUCCUAAACUACUAAUCUAUGGGGCAUCUGAUGGGUACCUUGGGGUCCCUGAUCGUUUCACAAGCAGUGGAUCUAAGACAGAUUUCACUCUCACCAUCAACAGUGUUCAGGAGGAAGACCUGGCAGAUUACUACUGUAAGCAGCACUAUGAUGAUCCUCCGACAUUACUUCAGCCACCAACAAAAACCUCAAAGAUUCUCAACAGCUGCCUGCACCACACAGCCCUGGACCUGCACACUUCCCCCUGA